GAUGAAGAACGCAGCGAAAUGCGAUACUUGGUGUGAAUUGCAGAAUCCCGUGAACCAUCGAGUCUUUGAACGCAAGUUGCGCCCGAAGCCAUUAGGCCGAGGGCACGCCUGCCUGGGCGUCACACGUCGUUGCCCCCCCAUCUACUCCUUCGGGAUUGCGGGGGGCGGAUGAUGGCCUCCCGUGCGCCUCGUCGCGCGGUUGGCAUAAAUGCCAAGUCCUCGGCGACGCACGCCACGACAAUCGGUGGUUGCGAAACCUCGGUUGCCCGUCGUGUGCGGUCGUCGCGCAUCGAGGGCUCGAAAAAAUUGCCGGGCUCCGGCUCGGCGUUCAACGCGACCCCAGGUCAGGCGGGGUUACCCGCUGAAUUUAAGCAUAUCAAUAAGCGGAGGA
rnacentral:misc_RNA from 1 species